rnacentral:rRNA from 1 species
UACGUAGGGGGCGAGCGUUGUCCGGAUUUAUUGGGCGUAAAGGGCUCGUAGGCGGUUUGUCGCGUCGGGAGUGAAAACCUUGGGCUUAACUCAGGGCUUGCUUUCGAUACGGGCAGACUAGAGGUAUGCAGGGGAGAACGGAAUUCCUGGUGUAGCGGUGAAAUGCGCAGAUAUCAGGAGGAACACCGGUGGCGAAGGCGGUUCUCUGGGCAUUACCUGACGCUGAGGAGCGAAAGUGUGGGGAGCGAACAGG